UUGUCUAUCGCAAAUAAAGAAAUAUCCAAAAAUUAAUAAAAACAAAAACAAUAUUGUUGUCCAUUCAUCUAGCUACGUUCGUGGCUAAAGUGUUCAAUCGAUAAUAUGGAACAAAUUCUACAUUGUAAAUAGUAAAAACAUAUGGAAUAUUCAAAAGUGAACAAGAACCCCCCAGCUUAUGAACCGAAUUCAUCCAACAACACCACACAACUGUGAAAUUAAACGCGGAGAGAGUGGAUGGAGAGAAAGAGUGGCGGCGAGAACGCUAUUACAUUUAUUGUAUUCGUUUUGUGUUUUUGAUAGCUGUGCCGCUGUUGCUUAAAGAUGCUUAGCCAUUUGUUUUUUGGCAAUAGCGGGGAAUAUUCCGCCGAAAUGUUUAUAAAGACAUGAAUAAAUGCUCUGUAAAUAAUCCUA